rnacentral:rRNA from 1 species
UACGUAGGGUCCAAGCGUUAAUCGGAAUUACUGGGCGUAAAGCGCACGUAGGCGGCUUUGUAAGUUAGAGGUGAAAGCCCGGAGCUCAACUCCGGAAUUGCCUUUAAGACUGCAUCGCUAGAAUUGUGGAGAGGUAAGUGGAAUUCCGAGUGUAGAGGUGAAAUUCGUAGAUAUUCGGAAGAACACCAGUGGCGAAGGCGACUUACUGGACAUAUAUUGACGCUGAGGUGCGAAAGCGUGGGGAGCAAACAGG